AAGCAGGCCCCUUUCCUUCUUAGCGCUGGAGCCCCGGUCACAACCUUACCCCAAGGUACCCACUCUCCGCCUCUGGCCAAUGAGGUGGCUGAUGAUGGUCAUCUGAAGGACAGGGUGAGGGUUGUAUCAUUUGAUGUGUGCUCAGUGCCCGGAUCGCUGCCCGGCCGUGGCCAGUACACCCAGACAGUAGCUCUUGUUAGUUUCAGAGUGUUGUCUCCCCCCCUGGACUCGGCUCCACCGGGGCAGCCAUCAAGCCGGGGGUGUCACCACUGUCUCCUUGGCAUGUAGGGCAGCAGCUGACAAAUGGCAGCUGUUCCACAUGAGCCGCAGUCAGUGCUGGGUUGUCCCGAGGCACCGAUACUCUGCACCGCGACCAUGAAAUCACACAGUAUUUCGGGAGCAGCACUCGACAGUGGACCUCAAGUGUUUACAACCUUCAGAUGUGUGGACCCAGGGAUUCUACUUCUAGAAAUUUAUUCUAAGGAAGUAUUCCUGUUUGCAGGCCGAGACAUCGAGGGAAGGCUGUCCUGGGAGAGUCAGCGAUUGGCAAGGACCUGGGCUCUAGUGUCGGAGGCUAAGCCAUGUCCGCGGGGAGGGAGGCGAGCAUGUCCUGCCCAGGAACGUUAGAAAAUACAGGGGACAGCUCCACCUGCCUCACUGAGUUCUAAAAACAAUUAAAUGUACAUAAAAGCUUUUUUAAGACCUCCUAUCUGAAACUCCUAUCUGAAGAUAUUUCUUAAGGUGCACUCGGGCAUGUCCUUUUUACGUAAUUCAUAUUUAAUUUAGUACUUCAAUUAAAUGCUUAUUUGGAGAAAGUGUAAGCCCAUUAACCAAGAGCAGCUCCAGGGCAGGAGUCUGGGGAGGACUUUCCUUUCCGUAAUCCUUGACAUUUCUUCCUGUUUUCAGAUCCCCCUUCCUCCUCCUUUUCUCCUGACAGGCUGUAUCUGCAUUCAAUCACUACCUGUCAGCACAGCUUCUUCUGAUGUGCAUAAAUAUGGCUUAAUUAGCUUGAAAAUGAUUCUCUUAAUUACAGUGGUAGAGUUCCUUUAUUUGCUCAGCUUCACAGCUAAGGAAUGUGCCACAACCUGCCAAGUCAACUUAAAACACAAAGUCUAAAUUUAUCAGCGAGAUGCCUUUGAGGCGCUCCUUUCGUGGCUGUUUUGCCCAAUUCCUUCUGAUAGGUUCGGAGGGUUCAAAUGCACUUAACCACAUUUAUUCCUUGGGCCAGCCCAGAGUUUCAGAGCUUUCUAUCUGAAUGUCACUCCCUUCCUGAAUGAGAGACGACGCCAGAAGGGAUGGGAGGAGAGAGGCGCCACCAGCAUCCAUCCAUCCCUGCCGUGUGAAAGCCUGAUGAGAUGACACCCUGGAAGAAAGAGCAUGGCCACUUCCUGGCACCUAGUUGGUGCUCAGAUAUAGUCACUGAGUCACUUGUUCAUCGACCUUUAGAUGCACCCUUUCUGUGACCGUAGCCCAGACUCGUGACUGGACCACUUCUGAUCUGUUGCUGUGAUUCAUCCAUCGGGGAUGGACACAGAAAGCCAUGAACUGGGGGCUCUGAGCCUCGUAUCUGGCCCUAGUGCUUAUACCCUGGAGAGUCACUUUGCAGGCAUCAGCUGCUUUUAUGUAAGCCUUUCUUAGCCUUGUUUUGAAACAGGCAGUGGUCUCCGAAGUUGCCUCCAUCACGUCCCACCACAGCUGGUGAGCACACACUGCUCCCCAUCUGCUGCCCCUCUGCUGGAACGUGGCUGCGUGUGGUGAGAGAAUGUGUGCCCCUCUGUUACGGGGCAGCAGCCUGACCACUUAGGUUGUCUUCCCCUUUCUUGGUUUCUCAGGGCUGUGUGAGGGUCUUUCUUUCGUCGUCUUCCCAUUCCAUUCCAAUCAUUGCCAAGGAGCUUUUUACAUGUUUUCUUCUAGGAGUUCUAGGUUUUAGGUCUUUAAGUCUUUAAUCCCUUUUGUGUUGAUUUUUGUGUGUGUUGUAAGAUAGGGGUCCAUCUUAACCCAUUUGCAUGUGUAAGCCCAGUUUUUUCAAUACCACUUUUUGAAGAGAUGCUCCUUCUUUAUUUUGUAUGCCUAUGCCUUUGUGGAAGAUUAGUUGGCCAUGUAUGUGAGGGUUUAUUUCUGGGCUCUUUGAUCUGUUCCAUUGGUCUAUAUGUCCAUCUUUAUGCCAUUACCAGUAUGUUUUGAUUACUAUAGCUUUGUAAUAUAAUUUGAAAUCAGGAAACAUGACGCCCCCAGCUUUGCUAUGUAUAGUAAUACAUUUAAUAUCAUUUUCUUCACACAGUGGUCAUUUAUAUUAACUCACAUGUUUAUGAUUUUGCUGCGUUUUUGAUUGUUCUGCCAAUCCAGGCUCCUUCUGGGAUAAUAUUUCUUCUGUUUUGAGGAGUGCCCAUUAGAAAGGGCUUGGGGGAGUUCCCAUUGUGAUGCAGUGGUUAACUAAUCCGACUAGGAACCAUGGGGUUGCGGGUUCGAACCCUGGCCUCGCUCAAUGGGUUAAGGAUCCAGUGUUGCCGUGAGCUGUGGUGUAGAUUGCAGAUGCGGCUCAGAUCCCAUGUUGCUGUGGCUCUGGCGUAGGCCAGUGGUUACAGCUCCGACUGAUUAGACCCCUAGCCUGGGAACCUCCAUAUGCUGCGGGAGCAGCUCAAGAAAAAAA
ensembl:lncRNA